UUAAAGNUUUAUCGGUGUACCGAUGGGGAUGCGUUCCAUUUAGGUAGUAGGCGGGGUUAACGGCCACCUAGCCAACGAUGGAUAGGGGUUCUGAGAGGAAGGUCCCCCACAUUGGAACUGAGACACGGUCCAAACUCCUACGGGAGGCAGCAGUGAGGAAUAUUGGACAAUGGGCGCAAGCCUGAUCCAGCCAUGCCGCGUGCAGGAUGACGGUCCUAUGGAUUGUAAACUGCUUUUAUACAGGAAGAAACACUCCGACGUGUCGGAGCUUGACGGUACUGUAAGAAUAAGGAUCGGCUAACUCCGUG
rnacentral:rRNA from 1 species